rnacentral:rRNA from 1 species
UGGGGAAUAUUGCACAAUGGGCGCAAGCCUGAUGCAGCCAUGCCGCGUGUAUGAAGAAGGCCUUCGGGUUGUAAAGUACUUUCAGCGGGGAGGAAGGGAGUAAAGUUAAUACCUUUGCUCAUUGACGUUACCCGCAGAAGAAGCACCGGCUAACUCCGUGCCAGCAGCCGCGGUAAUACGGAGGGUGCAAGCGUUAGUCGGAAUUACUGGGCGUAAAGCGCACGCAGGCGGUUUGUUAAGUCAGAUGUGAAAUCCCCGGGCUCAACCUGGGAACUGCAUCUGAUACUGGCAAGCUUGAGUCUCGUAGAGGGGGGUAGAAUUCCAGGUGUAGCGGUGAAAUGCGUAGAGAUCUGGAGGAAUACCGGUGGCGAAGGCGGCCCCCUGGACGAAGACUGACGCUCAGGUGCGAAAGCGUGGGGAGCAAACAGG